AACACCCCAUGUAGGGUACAAUCUCUUUUAAAUUUUUAGAGGAAGUUUUAGACCAGAUAUUAGGAGCAUUUCUUUACAGAACAGGUUGUUGGGCUUUGGAAUGGGCUGCCCAGGGAGGUGGUGGAGUCCCCAUCCCUGGAGGUG